GCAUCUGUAGCCUAGUUGGUAAAGUAAGCACUCUUGUAUGUGACUCAGCAUUGCUGAGGUUGUGAGUUCAAAUCUCACUGAGCACA